CUCUCCGUAGCUCAGCUGGACAGAGCCCCCGGUCGCGAGCCGGGAGGUCGGAGGUUCGAGCCCUCCCGGGGAGA
rnacentral:tRNA from 1 species